rnacentral:rRNA from 1 species
GGAAACGACAGGGAAGCUUGCUUCCUUGGGCGUCGACCGGCGCACGGGUGAGUAACGCGUAUCCAACCUGCCUCUGACUGAGGGAUAACCCGUCGAAAGUCGGCCUAAUACCUCAUGGCAUCGUCUGCGGGCAUCCAACGACGAUUAAAGAUUUCAUCGGUCAGGGAUGGGGAUGCGUCUGAUUAGCUGGUUGGCGGGGUAACGGCCCACCAAGGCGACGAUCAGUAGGGGUUCUGAGAGGAAGGUCCCGCACAUUGGAACUGAGGCACGGUCCAAACUCCUACGGGAGGCAGCAGUGAGGAAUAUUGGUCAAUGGGCGAGAGCCUGAACCAGCCAAGUAGCGUGCAGGAAGACGGCCCUAUGGGUUGUAAACUGCUUUUAUGCGGGGAUAAAGUGAGGGACGUGUCCUUCAUUGCAGGUACCGCAUGAAUAAGGACCGGCUAAUUCCGUGCCAGCAGCCGCGGUAAUACGGAAGGUCCGGGCGUUAUCCGGAUUUAUUGGGUGUAAAGGGAGCGUAGGCCGUGGAUUAAGCGUGUUGUGAAAUGCAGGAGCUCAACGUCUGCACUUCAGCGCGAAGCGGUCCAGUUCAGUGUGCACAACACAACGCGGAAGUAUUUUGUGGUGCGGCGAAAAAUGUUUAGAUAUGAGGAAGAACUCCGAUUGCGAAGGCAGCAGCUUGCGGGAGCACAACUGACGCUGAAGCUCGAAAGUGCGGGUAUCGAACAGGAUUAGAUACCCUGGUAGUCCGCACGGUAAACGAUGGAUGCCCGUUGUCAGGCUGUUUCAGCCUGGUGACCGAGCGAAAGCAUUAAGCAUCCCACCUGGGGAGUACGCCGGCAACGGUGAAACUCAAAGGAAUUGACGGGGGCCCGCACAAGCGGAGGAACAUGUGGUUUAAUUCGAUGAUACGCGAGGAACCUUACCCGGGCUUGAAUUGCAGACGAAGGCUUCAGAGAUGAAGCGGCCUUUCGGGGCGUCUGUGAAGGUGCUGCAUGGUUGUCGUCAGCUCGUGCCGUGAGGUGUCGGCUUAAGUGCCAUAACGAGCGCAACCCCUUUCUUCAGUUGCCAUCAGGUGAUGCUGGGCACUCUGUAGAUACUGCCACCGCAAGGUGCGAGGAAGGUGGGGAUGACGUCAAAUCAGCACGGCCCUUACGUCCGGGGCUACACACGUGUUACAAUGGCCGGUACAGAGAGUUGAUUUUGUGCAAACACGAUCCAAUCCUUAAAUCCGGUCCCAGUUCGGACUGGGGUCUGCAACCCGACCCCACGAAGCUGGAUUCGCUAGUAAUCGCGCAUCAGCCAUGGCGCGGUGAAUACGUUCCCGGGCCUUGUACACACCGCCCGUCAAGCCAUGAAAGCCGGGGGUGCCUGAAGUCUGUGACCGCAAGGAACGGCCUAGGGCAAAACCGGUGAUUGGG